rnacentral:RNase_P_RNA from 1 species
CGGGAGACGAGGUAGCCGCGCGGUUUCGGGGCAACCCGGAAUCGUGAGGAAAGUCCGGACGCCCCAGCCGAUGCGCAGCAUCGGAAAUACCCAAUUUUCAAGGCCAAAAUUCCAAACAAGAUGACUGUGAUUUGGUGCUUGGAGCUUGGAAUCUCCGCUGCUGUGCAGCGGUUGGAAGUAGGGAGCGGGUAGCGCCCGCCGGGCGAAAGCCUAGGGAAAGUGGCACAGAGACAAUACUAGUCUGCUGCUUGCAGCAGACAAAAGGUGAAAAGUGGGGCGUCGAACGCCCCUCUCCCGGCGAGCAAUCGUCGGGGGUGUCAAACCCUCCCUGGCGCAAGACCAAACUGUCAGCGCUUCGCGCUGGCAAGGAACGUAGGUCGCUUGAUCCGUCCGAGUGAUCGGGCGGACAGAUAAAUGGCUAUCCACGACAGAAUCCGGCUUAUGAGUCUCCCCGCAUA